rfam:Gossypium raimondii Chr03_contig_493, whole genome shotgun sequence.
AACCUAUCAUGAGGGCACCUUCUCAACAAGUCCUUGUAUCUCUCCCAUGUAACAUAUAAUGUCUCUAAUUCGAUCUGAAUAAAAGAAGAGAUGUCAUUCCUCAACUU